AGCAUACCUUGCAGCAGGUACUCCAUCAUAUUGAUUGUGCCCCCGGUGACAGGCAUCACGGUAACAGGAGGAGCUUCCAUCUUCUCUCAGACACCGAGUUGUUUUUGUCUGUCUCCUGAUGACAAUGGAUGAGUAAACCACUGGCGUCUCCUCUUCGACCUGCAGUAAGAAGCAGCAGACCACUGAACAAACAAAGAACAGGAAACUCAACAAGACAAAGAGCUUUAUAUCUUACCUGCCUGCAGUCUUGGC